rnacentral:lncRNA from 1 species
AACAUUGGAUAUCAAAGUGUUUUAUGAAAUAACAAAUUCAAUAACAUUAGAUUUUAAAUAAGUUUUAACAUUCAAGUUUGAAUAACAGUAAAUUUAUUGUUUUAAUACAAAUCAACUCAAUUCUUAGUUAAAUACACCUCCUCUGAACACAGCUAAAUGUAAAUGGCUAUGCCUUUCAUUUACAAAUACGACUCACAUUACGUGCAUGUCAAUGUCUUCAUAUCCGGCAUGGACACAUUGUUGAAUUGGUAAAUAGAGUGAUCCGUCAUAUAAUUCGAUUCAGAUUUAAGCAAAAA